UUUAUUUGAGAGCGAGCGAAAGGGAGAAAGAUUAUUGGCGGGGAAGAAGCAGACCCACUACUGAGUGGAGACCCCAAUGAGGGGCUAGAUCCUAGGACCCUGAAAUCCUGACCUGAGCUACAGGCAGAAGUUUAACUGACUGAGCCACCCAGACACCCCUAACAUCUCUGUAAUUGAGGCAACUGACGGUUUUCAGCUGUUUCUGCUGCUUAGCACUUUUGAAGUCGUUUUUGUCUGCUUACCUACAAACUUGGUUGUUACUCCUGGUGGAAUGACUGGACAACUGAAACCCAAGGACACUUCAGUCAAUCACUGAAGCAACAUUUGCACAAGAAAUACGAAUCCUUGUUGGCUGAAAACCUUACACUGACACCUUCCUCUUCAGAGUACAUACCCUUCGAGGUCCAAGCUCAUGUAUCUCUUCCUGGCAUGGUGCCUGCUCAUUAACUGGACUCGAAAGUUCAUCUGUGACGGACAACCAAAUGCUCAGACUAUGGGGAUACCUUCCUCCUACCCUCAAGGAGGCCUGGAAUCUCAUGGUGCCCAGCCUCUGUACUUGCUAGAAAGUGACAAAGCACAGGCUACCAAAAAGAGUCUGUCCAGAUGCCAGGACCAUAUCAGAACACAAGGUCACUUAUAGCUGCUGUCUUCCCCUGUUUCUGUAAGCCCAGAGGACAUCCAUUCUCUUUCCUUUGGAGAACACAGUAGAGGCUAACUCUUGGAAGUCCCAGACUUAAAAGACCAUAGUUGACAAAUACUGCUUUAUAAUACAUAAGUAGAAAGGAAGAAAGAUGAGAUAAAGAUUUUAGGAAUAAGAAAAUCCAACUAUUGUUUGGAUUCUAAACACUAUCUUUGUGGUCUUGGGGUAGAAUGCCAAGAGGAAAAGGCCAGGAGGAAGACUGCCUAGAGACCUGGGU